AAAAAAGAACAAUAUUUAUUCUAAAUAAGAAAAAAAAAAUGCUCUGAUCUGACUUAUAACAUCUCAGUUUCUUCCUCUGCUGCUGAAGGUAAUUGCACAGGAUCUCCACAGAUGCACAUGUGCAUACAGUGCAUAUACACCAACACCUUACCAGCUGCAACUCAUCAUCAGCAGUUUGUCAACUUAUCCAUGAUUACAUGUUAGCUAGAAAGAGAUACACACAUGAAGGAAUGCACUUAUCAGAGGCACAGGUUGUGUCUCCACUCUGCCACACAUUAAUCAGAGGAGGUGCACUCACACAAUGACAUAUAUGUAUUACACACACAAAUGCAAGCACACACACAGACAUCUGAUGGCGCAAAGUAUGAUGUUGAGUCUGUCUCGGUGAAGAAUGAAAACACAGCCUUAUUUGUCUACUCCCGGGUAUGUUUUUUUUUCAACACCAGCGUUGCUUCACCAAUACUUCGUAAAAGCUGAGGAGAACAUCAGUCCUCAAGUGUGCUUCUGUGAUGAAGUACAACAAGUCAAACCUUCAUGCAUUCACGUCAUGAGCGCGUGUUCUAAUUAUUACCCUUAUGCUGUCAACAAACGCAGCACAAGUCGGUGCACGCAAGAACAAUGCAUACUGUACACACAGUGCUCCUUCAGUGACUAAGACCAGAGAAGCACUGUCACUUACAGGAAACACCGGUGUGUUUACGUUUGUGUGUGUGUGAGUCUGUGCGUGUGAGUGUGGAGGAAAGAAACACAUAAAAAAAAUCUUGGUGAAAGUGGAGAGGAAACCGAUAAACAGACACAGAAACAGAAGGAGAUUGACAGUGAGAGGAACCUUGUGAAAUUUCAUCCUGCUGCGUGACUCGAAAAUUUAGAAAACACACACCACAGGGCUGUAGCCUGUGGCGGCUGAGCAGCACAAAGUCCAAAAUGCAGUAACACACACACACACAUACAGCACACACGCUGAGACUGAACGCCUAAGUCGAAGGGCGGCCUCGACAGCCUGUCAAGGCAUGUCGGGUCGAAGAGAAAACAGACUUGGAAAAACACUCCAGCAGGUCAACACAAAAACAAGCCAGCUGCUGUAGGGCUGCCACAGAAAACGGAUGACACACACCUAAAAUAAGAAAGCAACGCAAGCUUCUUCACACAUCGCGAGUCAUGAACUGGCUGCACGUGAUUGGAGUUCCAUCUAAUUACAUGACUUUUCCCUUUGUUGUUUUUGAGAUCAGGUUCAAAGAGGCGAUUCAUCAGUAAUCCACACCAUACUGUACUCCAUCUGAGCCAGCACAGACACACAAGAACACACAUUUUGGACCACUCAUAUUGAGCAAGAUAGACACUGGCUGCGGACGCAUGGUACGACAUACCUGAGCAGGUGAUUCACGUGGUCCACAGAUUGAGCAGGGUGGGUCUGGUAUGAAUUCAAAAGAAACAUCAAGUUCCCUUCAGACCUGAUGUGGAACAAGGCAAGAAUGUGGAGCAGCAGGUCAGUCAGAUAAUUCAGCCUUCUUGCUGACUUAGCAUGUGCCUUUCGAUGUGAUCAGGCUUCAAAUAUAGGACUAAAGAAACAGUUAUUAUGGUGAGAUUGAGUGAUAUUUUUGUAAAAAAACAGUUUCAUUCCCUUCCUUGUAUUUUUUUCUCAUUAAACUUUAAAAUAUUCAUCUCUCUCUGUAUCUCUCCCUGUUUAGCAGAUGCUAUGUGACCUUUUCAGUAAUGCAAUCCUCAAAUGAAUGAUUGACAGGAAUACGCCUGGAGACUUUGGGACAUUAUUACCUGCUUACACACAUGCAUAUUUGCAUACCAGCUGAUGAGUCAUGUGUCUCCGAGGACACAGAUCAAGAGGCAUUUAAUCAGAUCUUUUCUCGAUACUGAUCGUGCCUGAAAAACACAAAGGUUCAAGUAAAGCCUGCCCUUUUGUUGGCUGCACAUAUAAACUCCAAUUCUGGUGAUUUCACUUGAGCUAACAGAUAGUUUAAACCUAUUGUUUUAGUGACCUGAUGCGCCUUGUGUAAUUUGUAUGAGAGGCUAGAGCAGGAUGUUCAGCAUCAGGAUGUGGAGUCAGCCUUGUUAAUGAUAAUCUCCACACUUCCUCUUUAAAAGCAGCUUCCGGGGAUUUUUCAGAGUCAGAUCAUUGCAAAUAACAUUAAAUUAUGCUACAUUGUUGUGGUGCCUUAUACAUUACAGAAGGUACCAAAAUUGCAAGGUGCUGCCUCAUCUGCAUAAACUCCACCUCUGAAGAUGUGCCAUCUGCCACAGCAUAAAUUAAUUUGUUUUGGGUGCAUGAAAGAUGACACUGAGCUAGGUGAGGUGCCCGUGUAUAACUGAAUAAACACAUUAAAAUCAUUUCAUUUGUAAUGAAAACACAAUGUCAAGUUUUUGUAACACAAGUUUUGAUUUUUAUGAACUUUUUAACUUAAAAGUUACCAAUGUGGCAUACAAAGCAGGCUGUAAACUUUCUCACUAGAUAUGAAAGUUUCACUUCUUAAGGCAUGGAUUAAAAACUGAAUAUAUCUAUCUAUAUACAGAGCUAUAGAAGUAGAGGUCAUAUUUAGAUCAUCUUGUCUAAUGCAUAUACUGCAUAUCUUGUUUUUUGUGGGUGUUUUGUGUUUUUUUUCUUUUUAGCUUGCAAUAAAUUUUGGUUUAAAAAUCGUGUGCAUUCACAAAAAAUACUGGAUUUUGUGACGUCUUUUUACAGCACACACCUGGCUCAAACCAAACAAAGCACCAAGCCAAAUUUAUCGCGUGUUUAAUACGUUUCCCAUUGUAAUUUCUUCUACCAUAUAUGUCCAUGCCCAACCUUUAAUUCUCCCCGUGUCCCUGCUCUGUCUCUCCCUUUGUAGCAGUUGUGGAAUUCCAUCCUUCUAGGAACAAUGAGAAGCAUUGACUUCAAUGGAGCGAUCAAGCCGAUGACUCUCAGAUAAGGAAGUCUGCAGGAGCCACAGGGAGCACACAGACGUACAGGAGCACUAUUUACAGACACGCUUUGUUUCUGUCUUUUGUCUCUCGGGCUGCUUGUGGCAUGCCAAUCAUUUCCCUUUGUCCCAUAUGUGCCAUGGAUAUGAAAUCACAGUUUAUAUUUACUGCCCCUUAUGGCAGAUUUCAUUCUGUGUUGGAUAAUCAUUACACCAAUCACAGGUAACCAGUUUCACCCAGUUAUGCAAUUUUAUGAUUAACAUAACUUUUGGA